UUUUUUUUUUUAAUGUUCGAAAAGUUGAGAUGAAGACGCCUGCUCUAAGGUUGCCCUUUAUCUGUGCUCCAUCCUUUGUGGCAUUGAAGUGUGACACUGUCUAUCAGCUCCUCUCCUCCUGGGUCCAGCUAGCAUUAGCUCUUCAGUGA
rnacentral:lncRNA from 1 species